rnacentral:rRNA from 1 species
GAUGAACGCUAGCGGCAGGCUUAAUACAUGCAAGUCGAGGGGCAGCAGGACGGUAGCAAUACCGUUGCUGGCGACCGGCAAACGGGUGCGGAACACGUACGCAACCUACCCAUAACUGGGGGAUAGCCCGGGGAAACCCGGAUUAAUACCUCGUAACCUUAUGAAGUGGCAUCGCUUUAUAAGUAUAGCUCCGGCGGUUAUGGAUGGGCAUGCGCCUGAUUAGGUAGUUGGCGGGGUAACGGCCCACCAAGCCUGCGAUCAGUAACUGGUGUGAGAGCACGACCAGUCACACGGGCACUGAGACACGGGCCCGACUCCUACGGGAGGCAGCAGUAAGGAAUAUUGGUCAAUGGACGCAAGUCUGAACCAGCCAUGCCGCGUGAAGGAUGAAGGUCCUCUGGAUUGUAAACUUCUUUUAUAGGGGAAGAAAUCUGAAUAUUCCUAUUCAGUUGACGGUACCCUAGGAAUAAGCACCGGCUAACUCCGUGCCAGCAGCCGCGGUAAGAC